rnacentral:rRNA from 1 species
UCGAGCGGCAGCGCGGGGCAACCUGGCGGCGAGCGGCGAACGGGUGAGUAACGCAUCGGAACGUACCCUGUCGUGGGGGAUAGCCCGGCGAAAGCCGGAUUAAUACCGCAUACGACCUGAGGGUGAAAGCGGGGGAUUCUUGGGCAACCGAGGACCUCGCGCGAUAGGAGCGGCCGAUGGCGGAUUAGCUAGUUGGUGGGGUAAAGGCCUACCAAGGCGACGAUCCGUAGCGGGUCUGAGAGGACGGCCCGCCACACUGGAACUGAGACACGGUCCAGACUCCUACGGGAGGCAGCAGUGGGGAAUUUUGGACAAUGGGGGCAACCCUGAUCCAGCCAUUCCGUGUGAGUGAAGAAGGCCUUCGGGUUGUAAAGCUCUUUCGGCAGGAACGAAACGGUGGAGGCUAAUACCUUUCAUCAAUGACGGUACCUGAAGAAGAAGCACCGGCUAACUACGUGCCAGCAGCCGCGGUAAUACGUAGGGUGCGAGCGUUAAUCGGAAUUACUGGGCGUAAAGCGUGCGCAGGCGGCUCACUAAGACAGAUGUGAAGUCCCCGGGCUUAACCUGGGAACUGCGUUUGUGACUGGUGGGCUGGAGUGUGGCAGAGGGGGGUGGAAUUCCACGUGUAGCAGUGAAAUGCGUAGAGAUGUGGAGGAACACCGAUGGCGAAGGCAGCCCCCUGGGAUGACACUGACGCUCAUGUACGAAAGCGUGGGUAGCAAACGGGAUUAGAUACCCUGGUAGUCCACGCCCUAAACGAUGUCAACUGGUUGUUGGGGGAGUGAAAUCCCUUAGUAACG